rnacentral:lncRNA from 1 species
CACAAUAAAAUAUAUAUUUGUGCUUCAGAUGUGGAUCUCUAUUAAUACAAGCUUAUCCUUAUCCCACACAGGAUAUGUUAUCCAUAAUUGCAGAGAAAGGACAAGAAUCAGAUCACAUAUUCGAAAUUUACGUAAAGAAUCACACUGGUCCCUGAGGUGUAGGCUUGACAGUGAACAACACAGUGGCUGGAAUGAAGAAUACAUGCUUAUAACAGCAUCUGUCUUAAAGACUUCUACUGAAGAUUCCUCAGGCAAACUUUAUCCUUCUAAAGCAUCUCAUUUGGUAUUAGUAAUAAUAAGAGACUCAUCCACGAGUAAUUUAGACACUAACAGGUUAUCUAUCCGGAUAGCUCCUUAUGUUUUGUGGGAUCAGACUACAAAGGAUGCAUGGUUUGGGAGUGAUGUAUCAAGAAAGAUGUCCAUUAUACAAAUCAUGAUCGACAACUAUCAUCAAAUAUUUGGAAAUUAUAAUAUAUUUUAUAAACAUAUUGACAGAAGAUCUGAGGAUUUAAAGACUUGUGCAGAUUCAAUAAACUCUUCUGGCAAAUCACCUAUUAUGAAAGAAUUCCUAGCUGGCCACAACAAGAAGACAUGCGAUAAUGCAUCAAGAGGACCUGAUGCCCCCAGAAGCCUGGAUUGCUGGAUAUGCAUGUUUCUGUGAUGUACACAUAUACUCACACAUUUAUAAAACUACUGGUAUAUGUUGUGCCCUUGGUUUUAUUCUCUGUGUAUUUGAACUUUAUAAUAAAAAUACUUUUCACUGUGUAUAUGUGUGUGAAUCUGUGUGGCCUGUGCACAUGAGUGCAGAGUCGGAUGGAGUCUAGAGGAGCAGUGAAGGCCACUUCCCUAGCCCAGCUGCAGCCAUUUUGUUCCGUGCCUUCCAAUCAUUUUAUAUUGUUGCUCACCCUGAAAAAAAUUGGCUUGAUUCAACCCAGGGUCAAGCUGCCCACAUCCCCUGUUAUGUUCCGGGUGCUGUGAGGUUUCUUAAUCUUAGGAACUUCCAUAACCAUAAGCUCCACAUAGGACCCAUCAAAUCAAAGGUCAGUUUCAGCUGUCAUGUCUAACGUGUCACAUUAAUUUGAGUCAACAACAAUUUAACUUAGCCCAACAGCCAUUUAGAGACAAGGCCUUGUGUUGCUCCAACU